rnacentral:rRNA from 1 species
AGAGUUUGAUUCUGGCUCAGAACGAACGCUGGCGGCGUGGAUAAGACAUGCAAGUCGAACGGGAAUGCUGGAUAGCUUGCUAACCGGUAUUCUAGUGGCGAACGGGUGAGUAACACGUGAGCAACCUACCUGAAAGAGGGGGAUAGCCUGAGGAAACUCGGAUUAAUACCGCAUGUGGUCGUGCAGGACAUCCUGACACGAUUAAAGGUGGCCUUUGUGCUGCCACUUCCAGAUGGGCUCGCGGCCUAUCAGUUAGUUGGUGAGGUAAUGGCUCACCAAGACGACGACGGGUAGUUGGUCUGAGAGGAUGGUCAACCACACUGGAACUGAGACACGGUCCAGACACCUACGGGUGGCAGCAGUCGAGAAUCAUUCACAAUGGGCGAAAGCCUGAUGGUGCGACGCCGCGUGGAGGAUGACGGUCUUCGGAUUGUAAACUCCUGUCAUCAGGGAGUAAGGUCGUGUAUAGUAACUGACACACGGAUUGAUAGUACCUGAAGAGGAAGAGACGGCUAACUCUGUGCCAGCAGCCGCGGUAAUACAGAGGUCUCAAGCGUUGUUCGGAAUCACUGGGCGUAAAGCGUGCGUAGGCGGUAGGGUAAGUCAGAUGUGAAAGCCCAGGGCUCAACCUUGGAACUGCAUCCGAUACUGCCUUACUUGAGGACUGGAGGGGAGUCUGGAAUUCAUGGUGUAGCAGUGAAAUGCGUAGAUAUCAUGAGGAACACUAGUGGCGAAGGCGAGACUCUGGACAGUUCUUGACGCUGAGGCACGAAGGCUAGGGUAGCGAAGCGGGUUAGAUACCCGCGUAGUCCUAGCAGUAAACGGUGCACGUUUGGUGUGGGAGGAUUCGACCCCUUCCGUGCCGGAGCUAACGCGUUAAACGUGCCGCCUGGGGAAUACGAUCGCAAGAUUAAAACUCAAAGAAAUUGACGGGGACCCGCACAAGCGGUGGAGUAUGUGGCUUAAUUCGAUGCAACGCGAAGAACCUUACCUGGACUUGACAUGCUUGUCGUAGUCCUGCGAAAGCAGGACGUCACCUCGGGUGGACCUGCACAGGUGCUGCAUGGCCGUCGUCAGCUCGUGUCGUGAGAUGUUGGGUUAAGUCCCGCAACGAGCGCAACCCCUGUGAGCAGUUGCCAGCGCGUAAUGGCGGGGACUCUGCUCAGACUGCCGGUACCAAACCGGAGGAAGGUGGGGACGACGUCAAGUCAGUAUGGCCUUUAUGUCCAGGGCUGCACACGUACUACAAUGCCCAGUACAAUGUGAACCGAUACCGCGAGGUGGAGGAAAUCCUUAAAACUGGGCUCAGUUCGGAUUGGAGGCUGCAACUCGCCUCCAUGAAGCUGGAAUCGCUAGUAAUGGCUCAUCAGCAACGGAGCCGUGAAUACGUUCCCGGGUCUUGUACACACCGCCCGUCACAUCAUGGAAGCCGGUCGCGCCCGAAGUGUCUGCGCCAACCUCGGAGGCAGGGCCCGAAGGUGAGACUGGUAACUGGGAUGAAGUCGUAACAAGGUA